ACAGCCCUCUCGUGUACCGAUGAC
rnacentral:siRNA from 1 species